GAUGAACGCUAGCUCCAUUCUGAGCACAUGCAAGUCGAGGGGCAGCAUUUCAGUUUGCUUGCAAACUGGAGAUGGCGACCGGCGCACGGGUGAGUAACACGUAUCCAACCUGCCGAUAACUCGGGGAUAGCCUUUCGAAAGAAAGAUUAAUACCCGAUGGUAUAAUCAGACCGCAUGGUCUUGUUAUUAAAGAAUUUCGGUUAUCGAUGGGGAUGCGUUCCAUUAGGCAGUUGGUGAGGUAACGGCUCACCAAACCUUCGAUGGAUAGGGGUUCUGAGAGGAAGGUCCCCCACAUUGGAACUGAGACACGGUCCAAACUCCUACGGGUGGCAGCAGUGAGGAAUAUUGGUCAAUGGGCGCAGGCCUGAACCAGCCAAGUAGCGUGAAGGAUGACUGCCCUAUGGGUUGUAAACUUCUUUUAUAUGGGAAUAAAGUUUUCCACGUGUGGAAUUUUGUAUGUACCAUAUGAAUAAGGAUCGGCUAACUCCGUGCCAGCAGCCGCGGUAAUACGGAGGAUCCGAGCGUUAUCCGGAUUUAUUGGGUUUAAAGGGAGCGUAGGUGGACAGUUAAGUCAGUUGUGAAAGUUUGCGGCUCAACCGUAAAAUUGCAGUUGAUACUGGCUGUCUUGAGUACAGUAGAGGUGGGCGGAAUUCGUGGUGUAGCGGUGAAAUGCUUAGAUAUCACGAAGAACUCCGAUUGCGAAGGCAGCUCACUGGACUGCAACUGACACUGAUGCUCGAAAGUGUGGGUAUCAAACAGG
rnacentral:rRNA from 1 species